CCGGUCACGUAGUUGUUUACGAGUUGGUGAACUUGUCUUAGCUUAGAUUUCACAUUAUUCAUGCCUACAUGAGCUGCAUACAACUGCUCUAAUCGCUAGGAUUGGGAUGGACAUUGAUUUCAUUUCCAUUCAGCUUUUGGACUGUACCGGUACUGUAACAUAGUAUGGAUGGUCAAUAUGAAGCAAGCUUCAUUGAAUUCCUCCAAGAGCUCUGUACUCUGUUCUGAUUAUUUUGAAGAUGCUUGCUUUGACUGGACUGGGCAAACGAUUCGUCUUAGACAGGAUGCUGCCCCAACCAUAUUUGAUUUCCCGCCUCGUCUUAAAAAUGACCCAAACCAAGGAAUUCCUGGAAAGAAUUUCGAUUUUGCAAACACCCUCCCAGAUACUGCAAAGACACCUGUACCAAAGUCUUCAGCACCUUCAUUUCUCGAGGACCACUACUACUCAAUACCAGAAAGUCCAAGAGGAGUAAAGUGGAAGUUAACACCAAUAAUGGACUGUUAUUAAAAACUUGGAGAAGAGGCCGAAGACCACACAGAAAUCCUGUAGUGUAGAUCACAUGUACUUGCUGUUAAGUUUGGACAAACAUAAUUUGCACAACUUUACAACAAAUAAUUUACACUGUGUGCAUUCUGAUUAUUUGAAAUAGUUUAUCACUGGGCAUGUAACAAAAGUGAAUUCAUUAAAUAGGAAUGUGUUG
rnacentral:lncRNA from 1 species